UCCUACGGGAGGCAGCAGUGGGGAAUAUUGCACAAUGGGGGAAACCCUGAUGCAGCGACGCCGCGUGGAGGAAGAAGGUCUUCGGAUUGUAAACUCCUGUUGUUGGGGAAGAUAAUGACGGUACCCAACAAGGAAGUGACGGCUAACUACGUGCCAGCAGCCGCGGUAAAACGUAGGUCACAAGCGUUGUCCGGAAUUACUGGGUGUAAAGGGAGCGCAGGCGGGAAGACAAGUUGGAAGUGAAAUCCAUGGGCUUAACCCAUGAACUGCUUUCAAAACUGUUUUUCUUGAGUAGUGCAGAGGUAGGCGGAAUUCCCGGUGUAGCGGUGGAAUGCGUAGAUAUCGGGAGGAACACCAGUGGCGAAGGCGGCCUACUGGGCACCAACUGACGCUGAGGCUCGAAAGUGUGGGUAGCAAACAGGAUUAGAUACCCUGGUAGUCCACACCGUAAACGAUGAUUACUAGGUGUUGGAGGAUUGACCCCUUCAGUGCCGCAGUUAACACAAUAAGUAAUCCACCA
rnacentral:rRNA from 1 species